rnacentral:lncRNA from 10 species
UUUAAAAAGCUGAAUAAAUGAACAGUAUAAUCUUCCUUAUUUGUAGAGGAGCUAGUCAGCUACUAUAGAGGGAAGAAAAAUAUACUCCCUCGUCUAUUAUUUGUUCCUUUUAAAGUCUUAUCCCAGAUUAGAAAAUGGAGAGGCUUCAACUAAUAAUAGAAUAUUUUAAAAACCCUUUUUGGAAAAAAAAAAUGAUACAGUUAAUAAUAGUUAUUUAUGCUUCCAGUUUCAUCACUUAUUUCAAACAGGAGAAAUAAAAAAUAUACACAAUGAGAUGAACAAUUUUUUUUUUUUUUUGAAACAGUCUUGCUCUGUCGCCCAGGAUGGAGUGCAGUGGCGUGAUCUCGGCUCAUUGCAACCUCUGCCUCCUGGUUUCAAGCGAUUCUCCUGCCUCAGCCUCCUGAGUAGCUGGGAUUACAGGUGCCCGCCACCUCGCACAGCUAAUUUUUUUGUAUUUUUAGUAGAGACGGGGUUUCACCAUGUUGGCCUGGCUGGUUUCAAACUCCUGACCUCAAGUGAUCUGUCCACCUUGGCCUCCUAAAGUGCUAUAAUUACAGGCGUGAGUCACUGUGCCUGGCCAAGUUUAAUAUUUUUUAUUUUAAGGUAUAUUUAGGAUUUUUCAGUUUAAGGCAAAAAAAAAAAAAAGAGCACAGCAAAAGAUUCAGAUAAUUCAAAGAUGGAUGAAUAAAAUUAUAUAAACUGAAGCACAGAGAGAAAACAUGUAGAAUAAAAGAAAGAAUAAAGCAUAAGAGAAAUGGAGGACAGUAUCAAAGGAAUAGCACAUGUAUAAUCAUUAGAGUCUCAAAAGGUAAGAAAGCAAAAUAAAUCUUUGAAGGGAUAAUGACAGAGAAUUUCCCCAAAUCGAUGAAAGUCAUUAAUGUACAUUUCAAGAAACUGAGUGAAUCUCAACCAAGAAAAAUACAAAGAAAACUACACAUAGGCACACCAUGGUCAAACUGAAGAAAACCAAAGUUAAAGAGAAGAAAACCCUAAAAGCAACCAGAGAGGUCCCAGUUUUGAGGAAGAUGUACUACAUAUACUCUCCUGUCUCCCUCCCACAGAAGGCAGCUAUAAAACCUGGUCAGGAUGCAGGAAGCAGCUACUUCAAGAUCCUGAAAAGUAAAUAAUAACAGGUAGAUUAGGGGAGAAGAUGUAAAUUUGAAGUACCAUUAAACCUGGUGACCAUUUAAAAAAAAUUAUUUUUUUAAAAAAUUAAUUCUCACUAUGUUGUCCACGCUGGUCUUGAACUCCUAGCCUCAAGCAAUCCUCCCACCUCAGCCUCCCGAGUAACUGGGACUACAGGCCUCUGCCAGCACACCCAGCUCCAUUUUUUUGUCUCUAGUAGUCUGCAGGCUGGACUCAAGGUAGCCCAAAACUUGGAAGAAGCUGAGCACAGAGAGCUCUAGGAGAAUUCCCUCUAGUUCAGGCUCAGGGAGUAGAAAAGGAGUUUCCUGGUAGCAACGGAGGUGGCAAUAAGAGCCAGUAUGCACCUAAAACUGACAGCCAAACCUUCCUCUCCAAUUGUAA